UACCGCGAAGAACCUUACCUACUCUUGACAUCUACAGAAGCCAGCGGAGACGCAGGUGUGCCUUCGGGAACUGUAAGRCAGGUGCUGCAUGGCUGUCGUCAGCUCGUGUUGUGAAAUGUUGGGUUAAGUCCCGCAACGAGCGCAACCCUUAUCCUUGUUUGCCAGCACUUCGGGUGGGAACUCCAGGGAGACUGCCGGUGAUAAACCGGAGGAAGGUGGGGACGACGUCAAGUCAUCAUGGCCCUUACGAGUAGGGCUACACACGUGCUACAAUGGCGCAUACAGAGGGCGGCCAACUUGCGAAAGUGAGCGAAUCCCAAAAAGUGCGUMGUAGUCCGGAUUGGAGUCUGCAACUCGACUCCAUGAAGUCGGAAUCGCU
rnacentral:rRNA from 1 species